rnacentral:rRNA from 1 species
UACGUAGGGACCGAGCGUUGUCCGGAUUCAUUGGGCGUAAAGAGCUCGUAGGCGGCCACUCAAGUCGAAUGUGAAACCUCGAGGCUCAACCUCGAGCCUGCAUUCGAUACUGGGCGGCUAGAGUCUGGUAGGGGGAUCUGGAAUUCCUGGUGUAGCGGUGGAAUGCGCAGAUAUCAGGAGGAACACCGGUGGCGAAGGCGGGAUCCUGGGCCAGUACUGACGCUGAGGAGCGAAAGCGUGGGAGCAAACAGG